UUUUUUUUCAGUAACAGGACCUUUGUGGAUGGAGCUGACAUAUUGUAAUUGUAAUGGGCUUGGGCUUGAGUAAACGCAACAAAUGUUGGUAAUUCAACACAAAAUUAUGGCCUGGUACUAUUUCUCACAUGGUUUUACAAUAUAGGUUCAUAUGGGUGAAUCCAUUGCCCGUUUUUUCGUAUUAGCCCAGCUUCAUGCUUAGUUAGUUGGGUACUAAAAUAAUGUGGGUUUAGUGAAGGAAAAAUUGAAAUGAUAUUGUACCCAUUCGCUUGACAGUUGUUGAGAUGUGUUGUGAUGUAGUUAUUACGACUCAAUUUACAGUUGUUGAGAUGUGAUGUGAUGUGUUUAUUUAAUAGUAUGUUGUCGGAAAUAGCUACAAAACUAGAAAUAAGUUGGCGAAAAAACGUAAAAUGUACAAAAACUAAAAUGGUUAGAUAAAUUGGAUUAUCAUAAUCUUACGUGAUGUCAACGGCAGACUAAUAAAGAAUGAGAGAUUUGCAUGCUUCUCCAAGGCGUUGUCCGUCAGUCGGUCGGUCGACCAAUUAACGUUAUUGGUUUGUUAGAGUAUUUGACAAAAAGCUACCACAUUAGGAGUUUCCGUCCCACUGAACUACCACAUUCAAAAAGUGAUUGAUAACUACCAAAAUUUUCUAAUUUUAUGACUAAAAACUACCACUUCUGAAAAAUGGCCCGUUUAGACGAUUUAAACGUGAUUAUGACAAAUGGGACCCACCCAUCAGGGCUGAUGUGGCGGCCCAGUCAACUCCGUUUGUUUUGAUCGUCAAGUUGACCGUUAUGACAGGUGGGGCCCACAUGUCAUCAUCAACCUUCCUCCUCCUGUGCCUCUCUUGGGCAUUUCAACAAGCACCUUCUGUGCAUUUAAGGGAAGGAGGCGAUGGCAAGGGGAAGAGUGACCUCCAGCACGACGCUCACCACGACCAACUGCACGGCCGCCUCCUUCCAGCUCCCCGUUGCGGUCACGACCGCCACGCGCGCUGGAGAUGAGCGGCCGCGCCGCCACCGCCGCCGUCGGCUUCCUCUGCGGCGAUGAUGACCAGGAAGACCAGGCGGAAGACGAGCGUGGCGAGGAAGACGAACAGCACGAUGCCAUGCACGAACGACUCCACGCCGCCGGUGUCAGAGUGACUCCAGCUGUACUUGUACCAGGAGUUGAGAUAAUACGCCGGGACGGCCGUGGACGCGGGCUCCGCGGCGGCGACCAGCGUGGCGCCGGCAAAGAGGGCCCGGGGCCGGGGCGUGCCGCGGACGAGCUCCGAGAGUGAGCGCGGCCGGUCGCCGCGGAGUGUGGCGCAGGCGGCCUGCGUCGCGAGCUUGCUAGCGAGUACGUUAGGUGGAGGACGAGUAGCGCCGCUGGGUGCAGCCACGCCCGCAUACACCUCGACGACACUGCUCCAGAGCACCACCCGCACCACCAAGUCGGCCGGUGACGUGGACCUGGCGCUCGUGCUCAGCUCCACCGACGCGGGAUGUACCUGGCUUCCUCACAUGCUCCUCCAAAUCGACACAAGAGCAGCUGGAUGAGCUUGCUCGCGUACGUAGUCGGGCUGGAGCUCACCUGCUCUCCUCCCAUGCACAUAAGAUGCUUGUUGAAAUGCCAAAGAGAGAGAGGAGGAAGAAGAAGGUUGAUGUGGGCCCUACCUGUCAUAACGGUUAACCUGACGGUCAAAACAAACGUAGUUGACUUCGCCGCCAUGUCAGCCUUGACGGGUGGGUCCCGCCUGUCAUAAACACAUUUAAAUCGUCUAAACUGGUCAUUAUUUAAAAGUGGUAGUUUUUAGUCACAAAAUUAGAAAAUUUUGAUAGUUAUCGGUCACUUUUUUGAAUGUGGUAGUUCAGUGGGACGGGAACCCCUAAUGUGGUAGUUUUUUGUCAAAUACUUGGUUUGUUAUGAACUUGAUUAUCUUUUAUUUUUUGGUAAAACAAUUGACUACAACAUAAAAAUUAAAUUUGAACCUAAAUAUAAGUUCACAUAUAUAUAAUUUAAUUUUGAUUUUUAUUGGUAUUGCUACACUUUCUAUAAAAAAAUAUCGUUAUAAAAGUGUUGUUUUCCUCGAAAGACACGUUAUAAGGGAUACAUAUUGCAAUCUCUUGGUAAAUAACUUAGUUUAUGAGUUUGGUUAGUACAAAAGGAUGCUUAAGUCUAAGAGAAUAUAUUUAACAUGAAAAAUAUAAUGUGUUACUUCUUUUCCAAAGCUAAACCACGUAACUAAAACUUGGCCAUCAUCUUCAUAUGCAUUACACCGUGCAUUCGAAAUUCACGCCGGCGAAACAAGUAACAUCAAUUUUCGUUGUGCUAACCCUAACUAGACAAGCUAGCUCAUCGAAGAGAAGAAAAACUACACGUGGCAUGUGUGUGGCAUGUCGGGCAUGUCACCGUGCAAGGCUUCCUAGUAGAUAUUUAUUGAGCUAAAACAUAGGAGUCUACUGUCUACACUCUGGGGAAAGACAUAAUGGUGCGCUUAAGUUUCUUACUAUCGAUCAUAAUCCAGUAUGUCUUCCGUUUUCUAAUUUGAACUACAUGUGUGCACUGAGUACGUUUGGCUUUGCUCGUUUGGGUUUAGCUAAACACAAGCAGGCAUCUCUAGCUCCAAAGCACACCACGCUUGUUGCCGUCGAGAGCGAGUCAUUUUGGCUGCCGGACUUGGGUGCAGCUAUCGGCUAAAUUGCCACCAAAUACUGGAGAACAUUUCCUGUACCAAAGACCAAUCCUUGCUCAGCUAAGUUAGGAACUCAGGUUAGCUUCUGCUAUAGAUCCAAACACACAAGGGGCACCUUGAUAACAUUUUUCGAAAAAUACAUGUGGCCUGUGAGCAGACUUGGUCACAGCAAACAAGGGGGUGACAAAACCAAGGUCCCGGAAAGGGCGGCAUAUCCCCGGUGUAUAUCCUUAUAGCUGCAUGCCCUAUAAAUAUCAUCCAGAUCAUGAGAUGCAUAGAGCAGCAGCGCAUACAGCAUUCUUGCAGUUUCACCUGCCUAUAGUACGGUACGCACUGCUUCGCAUCCCCCUCUUGCAGUCUAGCUUGUUCUCGUGCAACGUAUUUCGAUUCGGUCUCCAUCUAACCGUUGGUCACUGAACACAUUGUGCUGCAGAUUGAUCUUGGGAUAGGUUUGAAGGAAGCAACAAAGAAGAAGAAGCAGAAGAUGAGCACCACCAAGACGUCGUGGCCGGAGGUGGUGGGCUGGCCGGCGGCGCAGGCCGUGACUCAGGUCAACACCGACAGGCCUGACGUCGCGAUCGAGGUGCUCCCGUCUGGCACCAGCGUGUCCCCGGGGUUCAGUAGCACGCGUGUUCGCGUCUUCUUCGAUGGGACUGGCAGCGUCGCGGCCACCCCACAGGUCGGUUAGGCCGGCGGCGCCAUCUUGCAGGUCGACAUUGCCCGUCGCUGAAAUAGUGGAGCUUGAUGUUAUUUUGAUUAUCUAGAAGUGGAAGAUGCAUUUGAUUUUAUCAAUGUACUCGUUAUGAAUGCAGCCCUUAGCUACUUUGAGGUUGGCGGGUAUGUACUCUUUAUGGUUGUAUCGUCUUUAUAUGAUGUUUUGAGUUAAUACAGUACCUUUUAUAAAAGAAAAGAAAUGAGGGCCUUUGUUGACGGAACUGGCAUAUUGCAAUUGUAAUGAGUUCGGGCUUGAAUAAACGCAACAAAUGUUGGUAAUUCAACACAAAAUUAUAGCCUAGUACUAUUUAUCACAUGGAUUGACAAUAUAGGUUUAUAUGGGUGAAUCCGGUGCCCGUAUUCCGGGAUUAGCCCGGCUUCAUGCUUAAUUACUUCGGUACCAAAUAAUGUGAGAUUAGUGGAGGAAAAAUUAAAAGGAUAUCAUACGGGUUGCUUGACAGGUUUGGUCACAGCUCUUUGGAGCAUAUGCAGUUACGAAGACUCAAUUUAGAGUUGUUAAGAUGUGAUGUGAUGUGCUUAUUUUACAAUAUGUUGCAGGAAAAUAGCUACAAGACUAGAGAUAAGUGUCAAAUACAGACUAAGAACGAGAGAUUUGCAUGCUUCUCCAAGCCAUUGUCGGUUGGUCGGUUGAGCAAUCAACGAUAUUGGUUUGUGUUCUGAUAGGUGUAUAUCUCACUUGACUACAUAACAUAAAAAGUAAAUUUAAACCUAAAUAUGAGAUCACAUAUAUACAUUUAAUUUCAAUUUUUAUUGGUAUUGGUAUUGGUAUUGCUACACUUUCUUAAAAAAAUUGAAUCGUUACGAAAGAAAAUGUUUUUCCUCAAAAGAGACAUUGUAAGGGAUGCAUAUUUCAAUCUAACAGAUAUGGCUUUGUAAAUAGCUUAGUUUAUCAGUUUGGUAAGUAGAAAAAGAUGCUUAAGUCUAAGAGAAUACAUUUAACAUGAAAAAUAUAAUGUGUUAUUACUGCUCUAAACUGAACCGCGUAACUGAAACUUAACUGAAAAGUUAUAGCCAUGCAUAAUGAUAUGUAUCAUCUACAUUGUGCAUUUCACAGUGCAUUUGAAAUUCACGCCGGCGAAACUAUUAACAUCAACUUUCGUUGUGCUAACCCCAACUAGAUAAGCUCAUCAAAGAGAAGAAAAAUUAUAUGUGUCAUAUGUGUGGCAUGUCGGGGCGUGUCACCGUGAAAUGCUUCCUAGUAGAUAUUUAUUCAGCAAGAAGCGUCUACUUGCAAAUAUAGUAAGUAGACGCUUCAUGUUGAAGUAAAAUAUAGGAGUAUAUACUCUAAAAAAAAUAAAGGUGCGCUUAAGUUUCUUAUUGUCGAUCAUAAUCCGGUAUGUCUUUUGUUUUUAAAUUUGAACUUUAAUGUGCACUGAGUAUGUUUGGCUUGGCUCGUUUGGGCUUAGAUAAACACAAGCAAGUGUCUCUAGCUCCAAAACACAUGAUUCUCAAAAAAAAAAGUCCAAACUACACGCACACCACGCUAGAUUAAAAAAAAGUAAACCACGCACGUUGCCAUCGAGAGCGAAUCAUUUUGGCCGCCUGACUCGGGCAAGCAUAUAUGUGCAGCUAUCGGCUAGAUUCCCACCAAAAACUAGAGAAUAUUUCCUGUACCAAAGACCAAUCCUUGCUGACUUGCUCUGCUAAGUUAGGAACUCAGGAUAAGCUUCUCCUAUAGAUCCAAACGCACAAGGGGUGCCUUCAUAGCAUUUUUCGAACAAUACAUGUGACUUGCGAGUAGACUUGGUCACAGCACACAAAUGGGGUGACAAAACCAAGGUCCCGGCAACGGCGGCAUAAGCCCGGUGCAUAUCCUCUGGCUACCCUAUAAAUAUCAUCCGCAUCAUGGGAUGCAUACACCAGACACAAUACAAGUCAAGAAGCAAAGAAGGAGAAAGAGAAGGUAGAAGAUGAGCACCGCCAAGAUGUCGUGGCCGGAGGUGGUGGGCUGGCCAGCGGCGCAGGCUGUGACUCAGGUCAACACCGACAGGCCUGACGUCGCGAUUGAGGUGCUCCCGUCCGGCACCAGUGUGGCCCCGGGGUUCAGCAGCGAGCGAGUCCGCGUCUUCUUCGACGGGACUGGCAGCGUCGCGGUCACUCCAACGGUUGGUUAGGCCGGUGCCGCCAUCUUGCGAGGUCGACGUUACCGGUUGACAGAUCGCGAAAGAGUCUUUUCAUGUUAUUUUGAUUAUUUAGAAGUGGAAGACGCGUUUGAUUUCAUGAAUGUACUCAUUAUGAUUGUAGCCCUUACCUACUUAGAGGCCGUGCUGGUGUGUACUCUUCGCGAUUGUAUGGUCUUGAUGUAAUUUUUGAGUUCAUAAUAUACCUUUAUAUCAAAGAAAAGAAAUUAAUGAGUGAAGAUCUUUAUGGACAAAGAUGUCAUAGUUGUAAUUGUAAUGGACUCCAAUGAACCCUACAAACGUUGGUAAUUCUGCACAAAAUUAUAGCCUGGUACUAUUUAUCACAUGGUUUGACCAUAUUGGUUUAUAUGGGUGAAUCCAAUACCCAGAUUUCUUGGCUUAGCCAGGCUUCAAGCUUAAGUACUUCAGCACUAAAAUGAUGUGAGUUUACUGGAGGAAAAACUAAAAUGGUGUUGUUUCGAGUCGCUUGACAGGUUUACUCACAGCUUUCCAGAGCAUAACAAAGGCUCAAUUUACAGUUGUUGUUGGAUUAUUAAUAUUGUAAUGUUGUUUUCCACAUUGUAAGGGAUAGAUAUUGUUUUGUAUAUAACGGAAUUUAUGAGUUUAAUUAGUAAAAAAAUCUGCUUAAGUUAUAUUUAAAGAAAAAAAUGUAAUGUGAUACUGCUUUUCUACAACUAAAUUGCGUAAUUGAAACUUAGCAGGAAACUUAUCGGCAUGCAUAAUCAUAAGUAUCACCUUCGUUAUCAUUUCAUGGUGCCUUUGAAAUUCACACUGGUCAAACUGUUAACAACAAUUUUCGUUGCGUUAACCCCUGACUAGACAAGUUCAUCAAAGAAAAGAAAAACUACCGGCUUAUUCGGUUCGCAGGAAUAUGAACCAUAGGAAUGAAAAAGGUAUAGGGGUGCAAAACUGAGGAUUCAAAACCGAAGGAAAACUAAAGAGCUGGACGUUCUACAACGUUGGAAGAGCAGAGCAAGCCGUUCCAUCAGGGGGUGCUCAAAGAGCAACUUUACGGGUUUUUUAUUUGGCUGCAUAGUGAAUCUCUGAGGUAAAGCAUCUGGCUGGCUAUGGAAUAAACUAUUUGGAAAGUAACUGAUCUUUCUCCGGCAUACGUGAAACAUGAGCUCCUAGUGGGUUUCCCAUUUCCUGUGGAAUCACGGGGCAGUAGCAGUAUUCCAGAGCUAGAAAACAUCGACUAGAUUACCACCAGAAGCUAGAAAACAUUUCCUGUAUCAAAUACCAAUUCUUGGUUGACUAGGCUUGGAUAGCUUCUGCUGUAGACACAAACGCGCAAGAGGUACCAACAUUUUUUUAACAAUACAUCUGGCCUGCGAGCAGACUUGGUCACAGCACACAAAGAAUGAUAAAACCAAGGUUUCGGCAACGGCAGCGUAGUCCUUGGUGCAUAUCGGAUCCCAACAAACACACUGUAAAAUUCUACAUGGGAUUGAUCUCAAAUGAGAUCAUUAUAUUAAAAAUCAAGGGAGAGAGAGAGAGAGAGCCAUCUAGCUACUGUCACGGACCCGUAGGUCCUGUGGGAGGCAGCAAGGUUGAUGAAGAGCCUCCCCAAUGGUUUCCCCUCCGGCAGAGUACCAGCGGAGGCCUUCAGAUGGGACCGCGGAAGACCAGAGGAUUGCGGCAGCGUAAGAAUUGUUUCGGGUCUCGUUCUGUGAAUUUUGAAAUAUUAGGGAAUUUAUAGGCCAGAGAUGGGGUGCGCCGUGUGAGCUUGUCGCUCCCUCGUGCAUUGAUACGUCUCCAACGUAUCUAUAAUUUAUGAAGUAUUCAUGCCAUGUUUACUAUUGUUUUAUAUGAUUUUGGUAUGAUUUGAUUAGAACUAGCCCGGACUGACGUUGUUUUCAGCAGAACUACCAUGGUGUUGUUUUUGUGCAGAAAUAAAAGUUCUCAGAAUGCGCUGAAAAUCAACGGAGAAUUUUUCUAAAAAAUAUAAAAAAUAAUGGAACAAAGAGUUACUGAAGGGGAGUCCCGUGUGCCCCACGAGGGUGGAGGGCGCGCCCACCCCCCUAGGGCGCGCCCCUGUGCCUCGUGGACUUCCCGUGGGGCCCCCUGACUUGUUCUUGACGCCAACCUCUCCUAUAAAUGCCCAAACCUUCAGAAAAUAAUAUAGAUCGGAAGUUCCGCCGCCACAAGCCUCUGUAGCCACGAGAAAUCAAUCUAGGCCCUCUCUGGCACCCUGCCAGAGGGGGCCAUCAUCACCGGAGGCCAUGGAGGAGGAUCCCGGAGGGGCCAUCAUCGCCAUGAAGGCCAAGAUCCAGAGGGAGAACCUCUCCCCAUCCAGGGGGGAGGCCAUGGAGGAGGAAGCACAAGGAAGAGAACCUCUCCUCCUCUCUCUCGGUGGCGCCGGAGUGCCAUCGGGAGGGGAAUCAUCGCCGCGGUGAUCGUCUUCAUCAACAUCACUAUCAUCAUCACCAUCCUCAUCUCUUUUACGCGGUCCACUCUCCCGCACCCCGCUGUAAUCCCUACUUGAACAUGGUGCUUUAUGCCACAUAUAAUGAUCCAAUGAUGGGUUGCCAUCCUAUGAUGUUUUGAGUAGAUAUCCUUUGUCUUUGGGUUGAUUGAUAAUCUAGUUUGGUAUGAGUUGUAUGUUUUAUUUUGGUGUUGUCCUACUGUGCCCUCCGUGUCGCGCAAGCGUGAGGGAUUCCCGCUGUAGGGUGUUGCAAUACGUUCAUGAUUCGCUUAUAGUGGGUUGCUUGAGUGACAGAAGCAUAAACCCGAGUAAGGGGGGUUGUUGCGUAUGGGAUAAAGGGGACUUGAUAUGUUAAUGCUAUGGUCGGGUUUUACCUUAAUGAUCUUUAGUAGUUGCGGAUGCUUGCUAGAGUUCCAAUCAUAAGUGCAUAUGAUCCAAGAAGAGAAAGUAUGUUAGCUUAUGUCUCUCCCUCAUAUGAAAUUGCAAUGACGACUACCGGUCUUGUUAACAAUUGCCUAGGACAAUUCCGCACACCGAUCCAUCAUUAUUCCACACUCGCUAUUUAUAAUACUUAAGUAAUAUAUUCUAACUUUAUGAUAACAGCACCUACUUUUAUAUUUUAGCUCUCCGAUACCAUGCAAAGUUAUCCUCUUCAUACCCACAACGUAGUUUUAUUUCUCGUUUCUAGUUGGAAGCAAACGUUCGAUGUAUGUAGAGUCGUAUCAGUGGCAGAUAGGACUUGAGAGAAUAUUGAUCUUACCUUUAGCUCCUUGUGGGUUCGACACUCCAUACUUAUCACUUCCACCUUUGGGAAUUGCUACGAUGAUUCCCUGCACUUGGGGAUUAUCAUGCAUCUCUGGCCUCUCCCCAAAGCUUGUAGGGUCUCUCAUAGUCCAGAAAAAAUCAUCGUAAAGUUUCAUCGUGUUUGGACUUCAUUGGUACUCCCUUCAUUUCAUAAUGUAGUGCACUCAUGUUUUUCGAGAUUUAACUUUGACCAUAAAUUUAACCAACAUGGGUGAUUGCGGCAGGAGUAUGACAGAUACCUUUGAAUUCGUAUUCGAAAGAAGUUUUCAAAGGUAGUUUUUCAGUGAAAUGAUUUGUGUAUUAUUGGUCUAAUUUAUGGUCAAAGUUGAAUCUCGAAAAGUGUGGACGCAUUACAUUAUGGAAUGGAGGGAGCAUGGUUUUUCUGUGAAACAAAGAGAACGCAAAAAAAACUGGCACUGGACACUAGGUUAAUAGGUUAGUCCCCAAAAAUGAUAUAAGAUUACAUAUAAAGUAUAUAAGAAUGAUAAUAUAAUAGCAUGAAACAAUUAAAAUUAUAUAUAUGUUGGAGACGUGUCAAACCUCACCACUCGAACAAAAGAUAAUCACAACACAUGUCAUAUAUGUAACCAAACAGCACCACUUUGCAUCUGGGUAGCAAGGGCUUGCAACCAAACACUCGUUCGUGUGUUUUUGUUCAUUCAUACUGGGGAAUGUAGAGAACCAAACUAUGUACGAAACAUGAUUUUCUGUCUUUAUCCGCUCUGUCAGGCCCAGCAACUUAACAGUGGUAGUUUGGUUGGGGUAUGUAGUUUGCCUAAGACGAUAUGAUUUCUUUAAAUGAAAUCGGAGAGGGGGCAUCUCAUUUGCCAAAAAAAAAAACAAGCCCGGCAGAGCGACAGAUGCAAGGAAGACAAAAUCCAUGCAGGUUAGGAUAGUUUUUGCUAGGAGUUUGAUGUACCAAAAGCAUCAAACUCCCUUUUAAAUCAAAAUAACAGACCAAAAGCUAGAAAACAUUUCAUGUACCAAAUACCAAUCCUUGGUUGGCUAGGCUAGGAUAGUUUUUGCUAUAGAUCCAAACGCACAAGGGGUACCUUAAUGACAUUUUUCGAACAAUACAUGUGGCCUCGCAGACUUAGUCACACCACACAAGGGGGUGACAAAACCAAGGUUCCGGCAACGGCGCCACAUGCCCGGUGCACACCAUUAUCAUCCUCUGGCUGCCCUAUAAGUACCAUCCAUAUCUAACAUAGUCACAGCACAAGUCAAGCAGCAGCGCAUCCAGCAGUCGUGUAGCUCUACCUAGCUCGUACGUACAUGCAUCCCCUCUUGCAGUCUUUGUUCUACUCUGCGUCCAUCUAAACGUUCACGACUGAACACAUUAUGCAUUUGUGCUGCCGAUUGAUCUCAGGAGCGAGGAGAAAAGGGGGAACAGAAGAUGAGCACCGCCAAGACGUCGUGGCCGGAGGUGGUGGGCUGGCCGGCGGCGCAGGCCGUGACUCAGGUCGGCACCGACAGGCCCGACGUGGCCAUCGAGGUGCUCCCGUCCGGCACCAGCGUGGCCCCUGGGUUCAACGGAGAGCGGGUCCGUGUCUUCUUCGACGGGACCGGCAGCGUCGCCGCCACUCCAUCGGUUGGUUAAGCCCGCGCCGCCAUCGCUUGCCGAUGUUAUCGGUCGAGGCCGGGUGUGUACUUUAUGAAUGGGAGCUCUUAGCUGCCUUGAGGCUGAGGCCGGGUGUGUACUUUAUGCGGUUGUAUUGCCUCGAUGUAAUGUUUUGAAUUUAAUAAAACACUCCUACCUUUUACCAAAGAAAAGAAAUGAGUGGAGACCUUCAUGCUGUAAACGUAGUGGGCUUGAAUGAACCCAACAAAUGUUGGUAGUCCAACACAGUUUUACCAUAUAGGUUCAUACAGGUGAAUCCAAUUCCGGGCUUUUCUGGCUUAGCCCUGGCUUAAUGCUUAAUUACUUUGACAUGAAAAAUGCAGGUUCACACAAACCGCGCAUUUACCAAUUUGUGCACAUUUCUUUUGAGCGAGGAGAUUUGUAGAAUUACCGGUAGUUUACCAACAGACAACCUGUAUGUUUUCUCUCAUAUGCAAAGGCGGGUUACUAUUCUUAGACACGGCUAGUACAAGUCAUUGACUACACAGGCAAGCAGAGUAAAUAGCAAAAAACUACUAGUUUACAGGCUAGGGUUCCAAAAAACUACCAACUUUUAAUUUUUCUCAAAAACCUACCAGUCGCGUGGUUCGCUGUUUCAAAAAACCCAAAACGCCCGUGACUAGCGAUUUAACCGUUUUUCUGACCGUCUGGACCCACAUGUCAUGCCAUCUGGCCACGCGCGCUCACGGCGCGGCCCGUUGACGGCCAUUAGCCCAUGCGGUCCGGUCGGAACCAAAGCCGCCGGUCGGUCGCACUCGCUCUNNNNNNNNNNNNNNNNNNNNNNNNNNNNNNNNNNNNNNNNNNNNNNNNNNNNNNNNNNNNNNNNNNNNNNNNNNNNNNNNNNNNNNNNNNNNNNNNNNNNNNNNNNNNNNNNNNNNNNNNNNNNNNNNNNNNNNNNNNNNNNNNNNNNNNNNNNNNNNNNNNNNNNNNNNNNNNNNNNNNNNNNNNNNNNNNNNNNNNNNNNNNNNNNNNNNNNNNNNNNNNNNNNNNNNNNNNNNNNNNNNNNNNNNNNNNNNNNNNNNNNNNNNNNNNNNNNNNNNNNNNNNNNNNNNNNNNNNNNNNNNNNNNNNNNNNNNNNNNNNNNNNNNNNNNNNNNNNNNNNNNNNNNNNNNNNNNNNNNNNNNNNNNNNNNNNNNNNNNGCACUGACCUAGGUUGGCGAUGGCGGCGCCGCAGCGAAAUGGCGUCGGCGGCGAGUUUUUGAGGCAAGGCGUCACCGGCGAGGAGGGCGGUGGACAUUCAGCGGUUCAGGCAUGGCUAGGCAGCUCUAGCUUCCCAGCGCAGCGGUCGCCGCGGCCAUCACCGCCCGUGGCUCAGGUGGAUCGAGAGAGCUCAGAUCUGGAAGUCCGCGCUGCUAGGGCAGUGGCCAAGUCCAUCCACGCGGAUCCAGAUGGCGGCCACAUGUGGGCUUCCGCGUUUGGUGGAGUGAAGUAAGAAAUUUCAGUAGCAGUUACAGUUUUAGUUGAGAUUUUAAAAUUAGGGUUAGAAGAUGAUAGUUUUAGGUUUAGUUAGGUGUAGAAGAUAGUGCAGUAUUGGGAAUGAGGAGUGUAAUUGUUUGUUGGCAUGCUUAUGCAUUUUAGUAAUGUUCAGUACAUUUCAUCAUUGUUUUAAGCUUCAGUUAAUUGAAAAAUAAAUGUUUUUCAAUUAAAUCUCCUACAGCUUAGAUGAAGACAUUUGGGAAAUGAGGCUGCAUUUCCAAGGAACAGAUAAUAUGGAGAGAAAGUAUUCAGUUUCUUCAGAUAUUAGUUAUCUGACCAUAUUAGCAUUGGCUGAGUUGGAGGGGUAUGGAAUGGAGGCUUUUCUGACUUAUGUAAAGGAAGAGGGAAAGGGCUUGGAGGGGGUGGAGGUCCUGGAUAGGAGGAGGCAUUAGAGAAAAUGUUUGACUUAUUUGUUGAUAAGAAGAUCCUGAACAUCACUGUCAGAAAGCCUACUGAUCCAAGCCCAGCACAUAUUAAUAUGGAUCACAGCUUGCUUGAGGAACAGAUUCCCAUUAGUAAUGUUGGUGAGGAAGUAUAGUGUUUCCCAACAAGGUGUCCUGUAUCCACUCCAGAAUGCAACUUUGGCACCAGAAAUCCCUGAGGAGCCCUAUCUUAACACACAACAUAGUUGUAAUUUGAACAAGGGGAAAAAUGUUGUGGACGAAGAAGAAGAUGUAGAAGUAGAACAUAAGGAAGAUGAAGAUGAAGAUGAAGAUGAGAUGGACCAAUCUUCUUCAGAUUUUGAGUUUUUUAGGGGUGAUUACAAAGGGCAGACAAUAUCAUACAAGGCUUGGUGUAGGGGUGAAGAUGAGGCUGGCACAGGGACAAGUCAUAAGCCUAGGGAAGAGGAAGAUACUGCAGAGCACUAUUGUGGAGCAAACUCAGAACCAUCAGAGUUUUGGAAGGAAGACCAAAUCCUUUCUGAACAUGAAGAACCCUCAGUUGUAUCAGAGAAAGGAGCAAAGAAGCUUAAGCCUGUCAGAAAACCAGGCCCAACUAUCAACUCACACAGUGAGCCUGAAAACAUCAAGUUUGAAGAUUUUGUGCCUGAACCUGAUGAAUACUGCUUUCCAGGUGAUUUUGGCCUUAGUGAUGAAGAAGAAGUUCCAAGGUUGCCUUCUGGUAGGAAGAGAAGGUUGAAGAAGAGGAAGGAGAGGAGGUGGUAUGAUCCAUCAGUCCCUGAUGCACAUGAGAAGUUUGCAUUGCAUUUGUGCUUCCUAAAUGUUGUGGAGUUCAGAGAAGCACUAAGAAAUUUCCAUGUCAGGACACUUAGGAAUUUUGAGUAUCACAGAAAUGAACCAACUAGGGUUAUUGCUUGGUGCUCUGAUAGAAAGCAAUGUUGUCAGUUUUACAUAGUGGCCUCUAGAAUAGCUAAUGAGUCAACUUUCAGCAUCAAGAAGAUGAAUUUGGAUCACACUUGUGGAGCAACUGGAGAGAGCACCAAGGUUACAGUCAAUUGGGGUGCCAAGGUGAAAGAACAUGUGGUGCCCCCAUGUUUGAUUUUGGUAAUUGAUGACAAUCUCUAUGGACUAAUGGUUGCCUUGAGUUAUAUUUGAAGGAUUUGUCCAUAGGCAUCUCUUGAAGUCCAUGUGUUGGUUUCAAGGAGUUUAUGUGGUGACCAAGGUGUUAUUAAGGAAUUAUCCAAAGAUUGGUCAUGUGAGAAUUGAGAUUUUUCCAUAGGCAUCUCUUGAAGUCCAUGUGUUGGUUGGUUUCAAGGAGUUUAUGUGGUGACCAAGGUGUUAUUAAGGAAUUAUCCAAAGAUUGGUCAUGUGAGAAUUGAGCUUAUUGCAAGCAUGUCUUGAAGAAGAAGAUUGUGUGAUCAUUCAUGUUUACCUUCAAGACAUCAUCCAAAUGAAGAGAGUUGGAAAGAGUCAAGGUUGAUCAAGACUAAGUCAAGAGUGAAUCAAGUUGAUCAACACACAAAGCGCACAAGAUGUACCGAGGGAUCAAGCGAUCCCAUGGUAUGGUAAGCAUUGUCAAUUACGCUUUGUGUACUAACCCAUGGUCUUCGUGAGAGUUCUUUGUGGGGUUUGGUUGCGGUGUGCAAGUUCAAGUGAAGUGGGCAAGUUCAAGUAAAGCAUCACGAAGAGAUCAAAUGCUUGAAGCCAUUGUGGUGACAAUAGACUUGUGAAGAUGUGCGGAAGGGUGGCUCACCCAUAGUGGAGUAUGGGGGAGCAAUCAACUAGUCUUCAUCGAGCCAACGCAAUCAAGAAAGGUGGUCCAUCUUGAGGGAGUCAAGAUCGUCAUCAUCUAGCUCAAGUGGACCAUGUGCAAGGCAAAGGUUUGCUCUUGAUAGGUUUUCUAUUUUACCGGUCUCAUGAUGGUAGUUGGGAGACCGGGUUAUAGGAUCGAUUGCCGCACUAUCAAGGGGGGUUCUCGAUGAGUAGCUUGAUCGUAUCGUUCAUAGAGAGCUCAAACCAUUGCAUCAUCUUUAUUGGUUCUUGUUUGGUUCUUCUCUUUGUGAGUUUUGGAGCUUAUGGUCAUCUUGAUGACAAGCUCGAGUUCAUCGAAAAUGGAGUUCACUCGCAUCUUCUAUGAUGUUUUCAAUGUUGGAAGGUUAUGUCGGUUCUUCUCGGUUGGAGGUUUUACUCCUCUAUUUGUUGGCAUACCUCCCCUGCCUCUUCUUACUAUAACGUUUUGAUGCUACUCGUCGUCUUGUAUCCAACAAGCUUGAGUUUGCUCAAUUCGGAGUUCAUAUGAAGAAGUUUUGGCAGUUCUGUUUUUCUCCCUGCGGUAGUACCGCGGUGGCAGCGGUAGUACCGCUCUACUACCGCCUCGAUUUUGGGUCUGCUCUUUUCGUGUCGGGUUCAGCGGUAGUCGCGCGGCAGUAAGGCACGGUAGUACCGCCUAUAAGCGGUAGUACCGCUUCGGUCGAGCGGUAGUACCGCUUCGGUCGAGCGGUAGUACCGCUACUGCAUUACUGCCACCGUACUCUGCUCUGUCCUGCCUCCUUCGGGUGAGUGGUAGUACCGCUUAUCGGCGGUACUACCGCCCCAAGGUUCUUGGUAGUACCGCUCGUGUGCGGGCUGAGCACAUAACGGUUGGAUUUUCCCCCUCCUAUAAAAGGGGGUCUUCUUCCCCAAUGAACCUUAUCCUUUGAGCUCGUGUUCUUCCCCCAUUGUUGACCUUCUUCGAGCUUGCUAACUCUCAAUCCCUCCAUGGAUUCUUGCUAGUUUUUGAGGGAAAAGAGAGAGGAGAUCUAGAUCCACAUUUCCACCAAUCACUUUCUCCUCUAUGUGAGGGGAACCCCUUGGAUCUAGAUCUUGGAGUUCUUGGUGUUCUCCUUCUUGUUCUUCCUCUCAUUUUCCUCCCUAGCAUUAGUUGCUUCGGUGGGAUUUGAGAGAGAAGGACUUGGGCACUCAGUGUGCCCUUGCCAUUGCAUUUGGUGCAUCGGUUUGAGUUCUCCACGGUGAUACGUGGAAGUUACAAGUUGAGAAGCUUAUUACUCUUGGGUGCUUGGUACCCUUGAGCUUGUUCCUCUUGGGUGCUUGGGCGCCCUAGAUGGUUGGUGGUGUUCGGAGUUCAAUCAUUGUGGUGUAAAGCUCCGGGCAAGCGUCGGGGUCUCCAAUUAGGUUGUGGAGAUCGCCCCGAGCAAAGUGUACGGGUUCGGUGACCGCCCCCAAGGGUUGCCAUUUGUACGGGUUCGGUGACCGCCCUCAAGGGUCCCUUAGUGGAAUCACGGCAUCUUGCAUUAUGCGAGGGUGUGAGGAGAUUACGGUGGCCCUAGUGGCUUCUUGGGGAGCAUUGUGCCUCCACAGCGCUCCAAACGGAGAUUAGCAUCCGCAAGGGUGUGAACUUCGGGAUACAUCGUCGUCUCCGCGUGCCUCGGUUAUCUCUUACCCGAGCCCUUUACUUAUGCAUUUUACUUUGUGAUAGCCAUAUUGUUUCUUGUCAUAUAUCUUGCUAUCACCUAAGUAGUUUUUCUUGCUUAGCAUAAGUUGUUGGUGCACAUAGGUGAGCCUAGUUGUUGUAGGUUUUGUGCUUGACAAAUUAACCGCUAGGUUUAUUCCGCAUUUGUUCAAGCCUCAACCAUGAUUAUUUUAAAGAGCCUAUUCACCCCCCCCCCUCUAGGCGACAUCCACGAUCUUUCACAAGGUUUGUGAGGAUACCAUUAGAUCAAACCCUAGAGGUGGUGUUGAGAUAAUUCUGUCAUACACAAAGAAAACAUUUGGUGUUCAUGUGCCUAAAAGCUUGGCAUAUAGGGCAAGGAAGCAAGCACUUGAAGUUGUGCAAGGAGAUCACAAACUCCAAUAUCACAGACUAAGGGACUAUCUCCAGUGUGUGCUAGAUACUAAUCCAGGCAGUAGAUGCAUAGUGACAACAAAAGAGGACCUAGAAAAUCCAGCUCCUACCCCCAGGUUUCACUACAUGUUCUACUGUCUUUUUGCAUGCAAAGAGGGCUUUCUAAAUGGAUGCAGGCCAUUCAUAGGUACAUGAUCCUUACACAUAUAUCUAAGAUGGUUGCAUUCAUGUUAUUUACAACUAAUGUGAUCAUAUUUUCAAGUUUAGAUGGUUGCUUCAUCAAGCUCAGCACUAGACAACAAAUAUUGGCAGCUACUGGCAGGGAUGGGAACAACAACAUCUUCCCCAUUGCAUUUGGUGUUGUUGACAAGGAAGAGACAGACAGCUGGACAUGGUUUCUCACACAACUUAGAACUGUUAUUGGGAGUGGGAACAAGUUUGGCAAGUACACAAUUAUGUCUGACAGACAAAAGGUAUGUGCUCCACUUCUCUUGACCACCACACUUUAAACUUACCAUCAUACUUAGCCAUCAUUCUAAGCCAUCAUAAUUAACAGGGAUUGUUGAAUGCAAUCAAUGAUGUAUUCCCUGACUCCCCACAAAGGUUUUGUCUUAGACAUAUAUAUGCCAACUUCCAAUCUGCUGGUUUUAGAGGGGAGGAACUCAAGAAACACUUAGAUCAAGCUGCCUAUUCCUUCACUAAGAAUGGUCAUGAAGAAGGGAUGGAAAAUUUGAAGAAAGAAAGUUUUGAAGCUUGGCAGUGGUUGUCACAGAUACCAGACCAUACAUGGGCUAGAUAUAAAAUGGAUACUGUUUGCAAAACUGACCUGGUUGUUAACAACCUUCGUGAAGUUUUCAACAGGAUGAUAUUGGAUGUUAGGAACAAGCCAAUCAGGACUAUGCUGGAGGGCAUAAGAACAAAGUUGAUGAUCAAGUUUCAGAAAAUCAGAGAGAAAACAGAGUCAUGCAGAUGGGAAAUCACACCAACAUACUCAGAAAUUUUAGAAGAAGCCAAGAAGUGGGCUAAGUAUUGUGAUGCAUACAUGGCAGGUCCAGGGAUCUGGCAAGUGACUAGUAGCUCUGAGAACACAUAUUGUGUUAACUUGAACAACCAUACCUGUGACUGUAGGAGGUGGGACAUGACAGCUGUGCCUUGCAGUCAUUCCAUUGUUGCAAUGCAAAAAGUGAAGCUACAUCCUGAAGACUUUGUCAAUGCUUUCUUCAAAAAGCCCAUGUACUGUGAAACAUACGAGCAUAUAAUUUUCCCAGUUCCAGGUCCUGACCACUGGCCUCAUACACCUGGAGAUGACAUAUCUCCACCAGUGUUCAAAGAAAAGAAGGGCAAAAAGCAAACUGCCAGAAGGAAAGGUGUAUUUGAGGUGCCAGCAAAAAAGGACACCUCAAGAAUUGGUACUGUCACAUGUAGCAAUUGCAAGAAGCAGGGUCAUAGGUUCAACAAUUGUGGUGACCCUUUGAAGCCUAAGUUUCAGAUGAGGAUGAACAAGCACCAGGUCAUUUGAGGCCAUGUUUCAUUUCAGAUUAUUGUCUCAUUUCAUUGUUAAAUUUCUUACAAUGUUUCUUAAUUGUGUAGGAAAAUAGAGCAAAUUACUCUCAAGCUGGUUCUUCUAUGGCUACAAAUGCUCAGAGGCCUCCAAGAGUACAUGUUGCUACUGCACCUGAACCAAGACCAGCUACAGCAAGAGCUACAACUUCUGCACCUUCACCAGCUCCAGUUGCUACUUCUAGGGGGAAAAAGGGCUGCUUCAACUAUUACAGCAGCAAUUGCACAAGGAGCACCAGCUAAGAGGAGCAGGCCUAAAACUUCUUCUGCUGCUAACACUUCUUCUCCUGCUAAGAACACCACAUCAUCUACAGCUUCUCCUGCUAAGAACACCAGAUCUUCAAGUGCCCAGAGAAGAACUUUCAUUGCACCAAGGCAAUCAAAUUCAACUGUUGUCCAGGAGGGGUCAAAGAGGAUCAGGAAGCCAAGUGGGAGGCUGAAAGACUAUUUUUAUGCAAGUGGUAACUAGCUCUUGGAUUUGGGUAACUUGAGUUCAUUUGGUACGGUUCUGUUUGUGUCAGUGAACAAAUAUGGAUGGAUUUGGGUCUACUAUGGUCUGUAAUGACUAUACUUUAUUUUGUUUCGGAGAUAUUCAGUCAGUUGACCUACCAUGGUUUGUAAUAACUACUAUGCAGUGUGUUCAUUUAGACAGUCAUUCCUGUGUUGAUUCAGUCGGUACAUUUCAGUCAGUGUAUCUUCUGUCAGUUAAUUCAGUCAGUACAUUUCAUAUCCACUGCAUAAUUUCAUUGAGAGUAGCAUAAAUACAUAGAUACAUUGGUUCAGAGCAGCAUCAAACACCAGUUAUUACAUAGAAUAGAGUAGAUCUUACAUAGUACACCAGAUCUUACAUAGAACACCAACAUAGAAAGAUAGAUAGAUAGGUAUAUAGAUGGAUGGGAUGAGAUUGACAUAUCAGUCAUAGCGCUCGAAGAAAUGGACCCACUUGGCCCUAGUUGCUGGAUGAGGAGCCAUGACUGCCCUCAUCCUUGCCCACCUAAUGAUCUCCAUGAAUGACCUUCCCUUGCCACCAGUGAAAACCAGCUCUAGUUCUUCAUCAUUGCACUUCUCCAGUACCUUGUCGGAGAGUCGGCGGUUGAACUCCUCUUGCUGCUCAUCCUGGGCCGCCUCUAGUGCCCUCUGCCUACGCCUCCUCCUCCUCCUCUGUGCUGCUGCUGCUGUCCUAACCUCCACAGCCUCCCCCUCUUCCUCUGUGACAUCUCCCAUGUCAGGAUCCAUCUGUAGGGUUUCUUUUGGGUGGCGGCUGGUGGAGUCACUGGGAAAGGGUGGGGGUGGGGAGGGGUUUAUAUUGACAGAUGGAUGGGGUUGGGUUUAGUAGUCCUAGGGUUGCAUUUGGUCAGAGACUAGUGGGCCACUAAGCCCAAUUACCCACAGAAAUAAUAUAUGUAGGCUAACAAAUAACAUAUAAAAGAUAUAAGAUCAAGUUGAACACUUAAUAGCAUACAAGAUCCAUUUCCACAACUUAGUAGCAUAAGAGAUCCAUUUCCACAAUUUAAUAGCAUAGGAUAUCCAUUACAACACUUAAUAGCAUAGGUGAUCCAUUACUACUUAACAACAUAGGAAAUAAGGUUCUUACACUAGGUUAAACUUCACAUUCCCCCAAAAUGUACACCCAUAAUCACUUGCAGUCAUGCCAGGCCACAUCCUUAUAUAAAGGCCUUUGGAUGUACUUACUUCACCAACAUAUCACAGCAAGUUCAAGACUCAAGGAUGGCCUUGAUUUGCUCUAACUUCUCCUUGCUGCCAUACCCUUCUUUCAGCAGCUCAGCAACAACAAGCUCAAGUUUUGCCUUCUCCUUCUUAAGAACAUCUCUGUCAACUUCAACAUCCUUCAUAGCCUUCCUGGUGUUCUUGAUGAUAUCAGCUUAGCUCUGCAAAAUGCACCUCUGCUCUUUUACAAGUUUGAGCUUUUCCAUCUGCACCUCCAACAUAGCUUUCUCCUCUAGCUCCUUCUUCUUCUUCUCAAGUUCUUCCUCCUCCACUUGUUUCUGGUACACCUGCUUGUCCAUCCUACAAUCCUGCCAAUCAAACAUCUUGGAUACAUCAUCAACAAGCUUGGUGUACUCAAUGCAAAGCUUGUCAUUUUCAGUCCUAAGCUUGGCCAACUCCCUUUCAUGUUCACUCUUAAGCCUGGCCUACUCCUUCUCAAACUUCUCCUUGUCCUGUACCCUUCCAAAGUUCUGCUCAUGGAACAUCUCCCAUAGCUUGCACAAACAUCUCUGAAGAACAGUUGGCCAAGGCCCAUCAACCCACUCUACAACACCACAAUUCACACCAUUUUCCUGCAUUUAUAAAUGUGAUAAGUUAUUACAAAUGGACUAGGAGCUUAUUUCAAUUCCAUGAUUAACUUGUAUAGACUUGAUAUUUUCUAACAAUGCAUAACAUAAAUGAGAUAUGAUAAGUUAUUACAAUGCCAUGAUUAAGUUUCCAAAGUAACAAAAAUACAUAUGUGACUGUCAUAUCAAACAAAGUGUUGCAUCAUAUCAAACAUCAGUGAACAUACAUAGCAGAAAAGUUUAUUGGCAUCUAACCUGGACUGGGCAGCCAUAGAAACGCCUUCCUGUUACAGGCCCUUCAAAAGCAACACGCUUAAUAGGCCUCAUUUGGUGCAGAAUGCACUUAGGAUGAGCAAGCUCAAGUUGGCCACAGAAAAGGGGCUCCACAGUGGUGUCUGGUUCCUCCUGCAACCAAAAUAACCAACAAACACUAGUUUCAAUCUCCACUCAACACCAGAAUCAACUUGCACGAUUCAUUAAACAUGAACACUAAAAAAAUCCCCAACUCAGCAUGAACCCUAACACUGUACAGAGAUGAACCCUAGCUUACAUCAAUCCUACAAUCAAACCCCAACCUCACUUUUGAACAAGAAUCCUACAACAGCAACACUACACUUAGCAAGAUCCAUGGCGGUAGCCUCGGCCUACUAGCACCUAACCCUAACCCUAGGUGGCAAAGAACUUACCAUAAGUCCGAUGUCCAUGCUGACGACCUCGCACUCCUCCUCCGAGCUCGUUUCCUCGUCGUUUCAGGAAGGCAUGGCGGCAAGGAGGUCGACGGUGACCGACCUCAAAGACGGCGAGCGGCGGCGAGCUCGCACUGGAGCAGGGGAGUGGGAGCAGGGGAGUGAGCGAGCAACGAGUGGGAGCAGGGUGGCGUAUUUACCCUGGUUCCGACAGGACCGGACCGCACGGUCUAACGGCCGUCAACGGCCGUGCCGUGAGCGCGCGUGGCCAGGUGGCCUGACAUGUGGGUCCAGACGGUCAGAAAAACGGUUAAAUCGCUAGUCACGGGCGUUUUGGGUUUUUUGAAACAGCGAACCACGCGACUGGUAGGUUUUUGAGAAAAAUUAAAAGUUGGUAGUUUUUUGAAACCCUAACCUGUAAACUGGUAGUUUUUUGCUAUUUACUCCAGCCAAGCACCGUAUACUGAAUUCGCAGAGUUUCGAAAUUGGUGAAUAUGAUUCUAGAGAUAUGCAUAAUUUGAGUAAGUGGUUUUGAAAAUCAACCAGAAUGCAAGGAGAGACUAAGUCCAAGUAUAUUCAGACAAGAUUACAGUUAUCUUUGGUGCAAAUCUGUUAAGAGUUAUCUUUGAGUAGGUUAUUCCCUUAUUUUUAUUCUUCAGAAUAUAAUAUAAAGAUAUUGGAGAGAAGGAAUCAGGUUUCCGGGCUGGAUGAAGGGAAAUUUAAACGGGAAAAUGUCAAAUCGGAACUGUAAGACACUUGAUUCUGGGAGAAAAGACAAUUCGCAAAAUUUGAUUUUCUGCCAAUUUGGAGCCCAAACAAUCGAGCUGUGGCACCAAUCUGAAAAUCCUGUUUACUGCAAGAGAACCAACAAACUGGAUCAUUGUCGAUAGCUAGACUGACGGCAAGAAACAGAGAAGCAGAGCAAGAUCUCUACAAGUUCAGCCACGUAAUCUGCAGAUAUUUACAGAUGACCAUAUUUAUCAUUACAACAGGUCGCACAUCAAACAAUACAACGAGAAAUCCUGUGGAUGUAAAGGAACACACAUAGAAAUGAAUCAGAUAAUAUCAUAAUAGCACGGUUCGCACAGCGAGCGCCAAAAUCUUUAACAGUAUGACCACAAUAAUCGAUGCUUCCUGAAUUAAAUUGCGAACAUACACACGUACGAAUCAGACUGAAGCAGCAACGAUAGCAUUUCUUCAGAUAUUUCCGACGGAAUAACAGUGCUGAACAGUGUUACUUCAGAUCCAAUUAACAGUGCUGAGUGCGCAAUUUCUUACAGGAUGACAGUCGGAACAUAAUCUAACUACAGGGUAACAUCAAUUCAUCACACCACGAGGAACCAGGAAAGAGGGGGACUCGCAGAGAAGAAGGCAGGAGCCUAGGAGGAGGUGAACUUGGUGACGGCCUUGGUGCCCUCUGACACGGCGUGCUUGGCGAGCUCGCCGGGCAGGACGAGGCGGACGGAGGUCUGGAUCUCCCGGGACGUGAUGGUGGGCUUCUUGUUGUAGCGCGCCAGCUUGGCGGCCUCGCCGGCGAGCUUCUCGAAGAUGUCGUUGAUGAAGGAGUUCAUGAUGGACAUGGCCUUGGAGGA
rnacentral:lncRNA from 1 species